rnacentral:rRNA from 1 species
UACGUAGGGUGCAAGCGUUAAUCGGAAUUACUGGGCGUAAAGCGUGCGCAGGCGGUUAUGUAAGACAGGUGUGAAAUCCCCGGGCUUAACCUGGGAACUGCAUUUGUGACUGCAUAGCUAGAGUACGGUAGAGGGGGAUGGAAUUCCGCGUGUAGCAGUGAAAUGCGUAGAUAUGCGGAGGAACACCGAUGGCGAAGGCAAUCCCCUAGACCUGUACUGACGCUCAUGCACGAAAGCGUGGGGAGCAAACAGG